AGAGCUUGCUUUCUAGAGACCGGCGGAUGGGUGAGUAACGCGUAUGCAACCUACCUUUUACAGGGGAAUAGCCCGGAGAAAUUCGGAUUAAUGCUCCAUGGUUUAUAUGAAUGGCAUCGUUUAUAUAAUAAAGAUUUAUCGGUAAAAGAUGGGCAUGCGUAUCAUUAGCUAGUUGGUGUGGUAACGGCAUACCAAGGCUUACAAAUGAUUAGGGGUCCUGAAAGGGAGAUCCCCCACACUGGUACUGAGACACGGACCAAACUCCUACGGGAGGCAGCAGUGAGGAAUAUUGGUCAAUGGAGGCAACUCUGAACCAGCCAUGCCGCGUGCAGGAUGACGGUCCUAUGGAUUGUAAACUGCUUUUGUACGGGAAGAAAUGUAAUUACGAGUAAUUAUUUGACGGUACCGUAAGAAUAAGGAUCGGCUAACUCCGGUGCCAGCAGCCGCGGUAAUACGGAGGAUCCGAGCGUUAUCCGGAAUUAUUGGGUUUAAAGGGUUCGUAGGCGGUUGAGUAAGUCAUGGUGACCAAAUCUUAUAGCUUAACUAUAAAAUUGCCGUUGAUACUGCUUGACUUGAAUAGUAUGGAAGCAAUUCCAAUAUGUAGGUAGCGGGAAAUGUUAGAUAUUACAUGGAAUACCAAUUGCGAAGGCCAGAUUACUACGUACUUAUUGACGCUGAUGAACGAAAGCGUGGGUAGCGAACAGGAUUAGAUACCCUGGUAGUCCACGCCGUAAACGAUGGAUACUAGCUGUUCGGUUUUCGGACUGAGUGGCUAAGCGAAAGUGAUAAGUAUCCCACCUGGGGAGUACGUUCGCAAGAAUGAAACUCAAAGGAAUUGACGGGGGCCCGCACAAGCGGUGGAGCAUGUGGUUUAAUUCGAUGAUACGCGAGGAACCUUACCAAGGCUUAAAUGUAGAUUGACAGGUUUAGAGAUAGACUUUUCUUCGGACAAUUUACAAGGUGCUGCAUGGUUGUCGUCAGCUCGUGCCGUGAGGUGUCAGGUUAAGUCCUAUAACGAGCGCAACCCCUAUUGUUAGUUGCCAGCGGGUCAAGCCGGGAACUCUAACAAGACUGCCGGUGCAAACCGUGAGGAAGGUGGGGAUGACGUCAAAUCAUCACGGCCCUUACGUCUUGGGCUACACACGUGUUACAAUGGCCAGUACAGAAAGCAGCUACCAGGCAACUGGAUGCGAAUCUCAAAAACUGGUCUCAGUUCGGAUUGGAGUCUGCAACUCGACUCCAUGAAGCUGGAAUCGUUAGUAAUCGGAUAUCAGCCAUGAUCCGGUGAAUACGU
rnacentral:rRNA from 1 species